AACGUAGGAGACAAACGUUAUCCGGAGUUACUGGGCGUAAAGGGCGUGUAGGCGGUUCGUUAAGUCUGGCGUGAAAGCUCUCGGCUAAACCGGGAGAGGUCGUUGGAUACUGGCAAACUAGAGGACGGUAGAGGCGUGUGGAAUUCCGGGUGUAGUGGUGAAAUGCGUAGAGAUCCGGAGGAACACCAGUGGCGAAGGCGACACGCUGGGCCGUACCUGACGCUAAAGCGCGACAGCAUGGGAGCAAACGGG
rnacentral:rRNA from 1 species